GAUGAACGCUGGCGGUGUGCCUAAUACAUGCAAGUCGAGCGGGGGACUUCGGUCCCUAGCGGCGAACGGGUGAGUAACACGUUGGUAAUCUACCUUUCAGUUGGGGAUACCCAGGCGAAAGCUUGGCUAAUACCGUAAUACGUAAUAAGUUGAGAUACUUAUUAUAAAAGGCCCUUCGGGUCGCUGAUUGAUGAGCCUGCGUCUGAUUAGCUAGUUGGUGAGAUAAUAGCCCACCAAGGCGAGGAUCAGUAGCCGACCUGAGAGGGUGAUCGGCCACAAUGGAACUGAGACACGGUCCAU
rnacentral:rRNA from 1 species